GGUAUAGCUCAGUGGUAGAACGCUUGCCUAGCCAUACAAGGCCCUGGGUUCAAGUCCCAGCACCA
rnacentral:tRNA from 1 species